AUGAGGUCAGUAAAAAGUUUAACUUAUGUUAGAUGAUAAGAAUUGGUAUAUCGAAAGUCUAUGAUAUGCGUAUAAUGAUACGUCGACCUUUUUAUGAAUAUGAAUGUAAGUAGAAGAAACGUUAGUGAUGAUAUGUGUUAAGAGCAAGUAUUAUAAAGUAAAAGACACUAAUAAGAGCUCUGGAGCAGAGUCUAACAUAAGUAUAACUAUGAAAGUAAUAUAAGUAAUAUGAGGGCAUAGGAGCGAUGUGUACAAUUACGUUCAUGUAUGAAUAACACCUUUGCCAAGAUCCCGAAUGCGUUUAGGUGGUAGUAAGUAUUGUGAAUGAAGCAACCUGAAAGGGGUAAGAGUAGAAUCGGUCUAGUUUGAAUGAGAAAGGUUUCGGGGACGAAACCUUCUUUAAGGGGGGUAGACUUGUA
rnacentral:lncRNA from 1 species